rnacentral:lncRNA from 7 species
GGAGAAAUUGGUCAGCCUGAGAAUAAGGUGUAUUUGUGCUUGCAGCUGUGUUGCACAGCAGCCAGCUACCUGCAGACUGCACUCAUUCCUGUAGCACCCCUGCACCAUUCACUCCACUCUUGCUCCAGCACCCUGUAGCCAAGAAGAGACUAAUUAUACCCAUUCCCUGUUUUGUGAUGAAGUUUCAUGGAAAGUUUUUAAAAACGUCUCACAACUGAUUAACAAGAAAGUCUUCAAGUUUUUUAAAAUGAGUUACAAGAACAUUAAAAAACAAGCUACAAGUUGGGGGGAAAGAUAAGAUCAUUUUUGAAGAAGAUUGGGGCUGGAUUAGGGAAUCAUGUACCAUCAAAACAAAUCUGCAUUAAAAUACCGGUAAUUUCAAAACACAGCUGCUGUCAAAGAUAGCCUUCAGGAUGGAAGAAGAGAGGUUGUGAAAAAGGAAAAUCUGCAAAGUUUACAAGACCAUCAAGUGCUGGUUUACCUUUAUUCCCAUCAAAGUCAAUCCUGAAACAUCCUGAAAUACUCUACGUAUAAAUAUGCCCCUGGAAUUCAACAACAACAGAAUUGUAAUCCAACACCCAAGAGUCUGUAAGUUGAAAGAAAAGAUAGAAAAGAUCUUCAUAAAUCUGCAGAUAUCAGGAGCCACAAGGUGGUAGUAGAUUAUAUAUGCAUAAUCCUGUUGUAUUAUAGGAGUAGGGAUAUAUGGAACAGAAUUUAUUUCUUUUGACAGCAGACUGCAAGAUCUUGCUCAUUCCUGUUCUCUAAAUCUUUUAAAAAAUUGCUUUGUCUGGUAUUCUGCUAUGCUUUCCCUCUCUCUUUUCAUUUCACUUUUUCUUUUUUCCCCCUUUUAUAAAAUCUUUUCUAAUGUAAAAUGAGAAAAUAAAUAGCUCUUGAAGUCAGGAAGAUUUCUGAAAUACUUUUCAAGUUAUAUGCAACAAGCACAAAAUCUUCCAAGUUGUAACAAAUUCUAACAUGGAUGCAUAUUCGAAGUUUAAGUAUAUGAUUCUUUCAACAAUGCACAGACUGCUGAAUUUCAUCUGUUGUUGUAAGUUAGAGAUAAGGUUACAGGGAAAAAAAAAAAAAAACAGAAGUUAUUUAAUACAUUGCCGAUUGUUGCAAGUAGUAGUGAAGCCUACAAAAAAUCAUCUUAUGAAGUCAUAAAAAUGAAUGUCACAGUUAUAAUUCACAGAUCAUAGUCCAUG